UGACGGUACCUAACUAAGAAGCCCCGGCUAACUACGUGCCAGCAGCCGCGGUAAUACGUAGGGGGCAAGCGUUAUCCGGAUUUACUGGGUGUAAAGGGAGCGCAGACGGCAAAGCAAGUCUGAUGUGAAAUGCGGGGGCUCAACCCCUGAACUGCAUUGGAAACUGUUUAGCUAGAGUGCAGGAGAGGUAAGUGGAAUUCCUAGUGUAGCGGUGAAAUGCGUAGAUAUUAGGAGGAACACCGGUGGCGAAGGCGGCUUACUGGACUGUAACUGACGUUGAGGCUCGAAAGCGUGGGGAGCAAACAGGAUUAGAUACCCUG
rnacentral:rRNA from 1 species